UGACCCCAGCUCAGGCGAGAACACCCGCUGAGUUUAAGCAUAUAAUUAAGCGGAGGAAAAGAAACUUACAAGGAUUCCCCUAGUAACGACGAGCGAACCGGGAAGAGCCCAGCAUGAAAAUCAGGUGGCAGUGUCACCUGAAUUGUAGUCUGUAGAAGUGUCCUUAGUGGCAGACCUGACCCAAGUUCCCUAGAAGGGGGUGCCUGAGAGGGUGACAACCCCGUCAUGCUGGGACCCUACCACACCACGAGGCAUUGUUGACGAGUCGUGUUGUUUGGGAAUGCAACCCUAAUCAGGUGGUAAAUUCCAUCCAAGGCUAAAUAUGGGAGAGAGACCAAUAGCAAACAAGUACCGUGAGGUAAAAAUGAAAAGGACUUUGAAAAGAGAGUUAAAGAGUGCUUGAAAUUGCUAGGAGGGAAGCGGAUGGAGGCUGACGAUGCAUCUCGAUUGGAUGCGGAACGGCUCAAGCUAGUCCACCGCUCGACUCGAGUUGCGAACCAACACAGGCCAUUGCAUCGGCACAAGCACGGGUGGAGUACUGCCUAUUGGUUUGCCAUUGUGGUGGUCGAGGAAUGAAGUGUGUGCCCUUGGGGUGGGCCACUGUGCACCUACACGCUCGUGGUGUUGGUUGGCGGGCUUUUCAUUCGACCUGUCUUGAAACACGAACCAUGUAGUCUAACAUGUGUGCGAGUCGGUGGGUUUGUAAACCUGCGAGGCAUAAGGAAGCUGAUGGGCGAGAACCCCUCUCCAUGGGGUGCAUUGUUGAACGACCUUCAACUUGUGCGAAGGGUUUGAGUGUGAGCACACCUGUUGGGACCCAAAAUAUGGUGAACUAUUCCUGAGCAGGGCGAAGCCAGAGGAAACUCUGGUGGAGGCCCGUAGCGAUACUAACGUGCAAAUC
rfam:Picea glauca, whole genome shotgun sequence.